rnacentral:rRNA from 1 species
UACGAAGGGGGCUAGCGUUGCUCGGAAUUACUGGGCGUAAAGGGCGCGUAGGCGGCACUGUUAGUCAGGCGUGAAAGUCCUGGGCUCAACCUGGGAACUGCGCUUGAUACGGCAGAGCUAGAGGAUGGAAGAGGCUCGCGGAAUUCCCAGUGUAGAGGUGAAAUUCGUAGAUAUUGGGAGGAACACCUAUGGCGAAGGCAGCUCGCUGGGACGUUACUGACGCUGAGACGCGAAAGCGUGGGGAGCAAACAGG